UACGUAGGGUGCAAGCGUUAAUCGGAAUUACUGGGCGUAAAGCGUGCGCAGGCGGUUUUGUAAGACUGUCGUGAAAUCCCCGGGCUUAACCUGGGAAUGGCGAUGGUGACUGCAAGGCUAGAGUUUGGCAGAGGGGGGUAGAAUUCCACGUGUAGCAGUGAAAUGCGUAGAGAUGUGGAGGAACACCGAUGGCGAAGGCAGCCCCCUGGGUUAACACUGACGCUCAGGCACGAAAGCGUGGGGAGCAAAAGGG
rnacentral:rRNA from 1 species